rnacentral:rRNA from 1 species
UACGUAGGGUGCGAGCGUUAAUCGGAUUUACUGGGCGUAAAGCGUGCGCAGGCGGCCCGUUAAGACAGGUGUGAAAUCCCUGGGCUAAACCUAGGAAUUGCGCUUGUGACUGGCGGGCUCGAGUACGGUAGAGGGGGGUGGAAUUCCUGGUGUAGCAGUGAAAUGCGUAGAGAUCAGGAGGAACACCGAUGGCGAAGGCAGCCCCCUGGGCCUGUACUGACGCUCAUGCACGAAAGCGUGGGGAGCAAACAGG